UACGUAGGGGGCGAGCGUUGUCCGGAGUUACUGGGCGUAAAGGGCACGCAGGCGGUGCGGCGCGUUUCGCGUGACAGCGGAGGGCUUAACUCUCCGAGGAUGCGAAAGACGGCGGCACUUGAGGGCCAGAGAGGGACACGGAAUUCCUGGUGUAGCGGUGAAAUGCGCAGAUAUCAGGAGGAACACCGGUGGCGAAGGCGGCUUGCUGGGCCAGUUCUGACGCUGAGGAGCGAAAGCGUGGGGAGCGAACAGG
rnacentral:rRNA from 1 species